AACGAACGCUGGCGGCAUGCCUAACACAUGCAAGUCGAACGAGACCUUCGGGUCUAGUGGCGCACGGGUGCGUAACGCGUGGGAACCUGCCCUUAGGUUCGGAAUAACUCCCCGAAAGGGGUGCUAAUACCGGAUAAUGUCUUCGGACCAAAGAUUUAUCGCCUUUGGAUGGGCCCGCGUUGGAUUAGCUAGUUGGUAGGGUAAAAGCCUACCAAGGCGACGAUCCAUAGCUGGUCUGAGAGGAUGAUCAGCCACACUGGGACUGCGACACGGCCCAGACUCCUACGCGAGGCAGCAGUGGGGAAUAUUGGACAAUGGGCGAAGGCCUGAUCCAGCAAUGCCGCGUGAGUGAUGAAGGCCUUAGGGUUGUAAAGCUCUUUUACCCGGAAUGAUAAUGACAGUACCGGGAGAAUAAGCUCCGGCUAACUCCGUG
rnacentral:rRNA from 1 species